AAAUUGAAGAGUUUGAUCAUGGCUCAGAUUGAACGCUGGCGGCAGGCCUAACACAUGCAAGUCGAGCGGAAACGAGUUAUCUGAACCUUCGGGGAACGAUAACGGCGUCGAGCGGCGGACGGGUGAGUAAUGCCUAGGAAAUUGCCCUGAUGUGGGGGAUAACCAUUGGAAACGAUGGCUAAUACCGCAUGAUGCCUACGGGCCAAAGAGGGGGACCUUCGGGCCUCUCGCGUCAGGAUAUGCCUAGGUGGGAUUAGCUAGUUGGUGAGGUAAGGGCUCACCAAGGCGACGAUCCCUAGCUGGUCUGAGAGGAUGAUCAGCCACACUGGAACUGAG
rnacentral:rRNA from 1 species